rnacentral:tRNA from 1 species
GGUGCCAUAGCUCAGUUGGUAGAGCAAAGGACUGAAAAUCCUUGUGUCCCCGGUUCGAUUCCUGGUGGUACCACUA